GGCGAGGGGAGUGAAAAAGAACCUGAAACCGUGUACGUACAAGCAGUGGGAGCACAGGUUUACCUGUGUGACUGCGUACCUUUUGUAUAAUGGGUCAGCGACUUAUAUUCUGUAGCAAGGUUAACCGAAUAGGGGAGCCGGAGGGAAACCGAGUCUUAAUUGGGCGUUAAGUUGCAGGGUAUAGACCCGAAACCCGGUGAUCUAGCCAUGGGCAGGUUGAAGGUUGGGUAACACUAACUGGAGGACCGAACCGACUAAUGUUGAAAAAUUAGCGGAUGACCUGUGGCUGGGGGUGAAAGGCCAAUCAAACCGGGAGAUAGCUGGUUCUCCCCGAAAGCUAUUUAGGUAGCGCCUCGUGAAUUCAUCUCCGGGGGUAGAGCACUGUUUCGGCUAGGGGGCCAUCCCGGCUUACCAACCCGAUGCAAACUGCGAAUACCGGAGAAUGUUAUCACGGGAGACACACGGCGGGUGCUAACGUCCGUCGUGAAGAGGGAAACAACCCAGACCGCCAGCUAAGGUCCCAAAGUCAUGGUUAAGUGGGAAACGAUGUGGGAAGGCCCAGACAGCCAGGAUGUUGGCUUAGAAGCAGCCAUCAUUUAAAGAAAGCGUAAUAGCUCACUGGUCGAGUCGGCCUGCGCGGAAGAUGUAACGGGGCUAAACCAUGCACCGAAGCUGCGGCAGCGACGCUGAUGCGUUGUUGGGUAGGGGAGCGUUCUGUAAGCCUGUGAAGGUGGCCUGUGAGGGUUGCUGGAGGUAUCAGAAGUGCGAAUGCUGACAUAAGUAACGAUAAAGCGGGUGAAAAGCCCGCUCGCCGGAAGACCAA
rnacentral:rRNA from 1 species